rnacentral:rRNA from 1 species
CACGUAGGGCGCAAGCGUUGUCCGGAAUCACUGGGCGUAAAGGGUGCGUAGGCGGGUCUUUAAGUCAGGGGUGAAAUCCUGGAGCUCAACUCCAGAACUGCCUUUGAUACUGAAGAUCUUGAGUCCGGGAGAGGUGAGUGGAACUGCGAGUGUAGAGGUGAAAUUCGUAGAUAUUCGCAAGAACACCAGUGGCGAAGGCGGCUCACUGGCCCGGUACUGACGCUGAGGCACGAAAGCGUGGGGAGCAAACAGG